rnacentral:rRNA from 1 species
UACGUAGGGUGCAAGCGUUGUCCGGAAUUAUUGGGCGUAAAGAGCUCGUAGGCGGCUUGUCGCGUCGACUGUGAAAACCCGGGGCUCAACCCCGGGCCUGCAUUCGAUACGGGCAGACUAGAGUUCGGUAGGGGAGUCUGGAAUUCCUGGUGUAGCGGUGAAAUGCGCAGAUAUCAGGAGGAACACCGGUGGUGUAGACGGCUUUCUGGACCGUAACUGACGCUGAGACACGAAAGCGUGGGUAGCAAACAGG